GUCUACUGCCAUAUCACCCUGAACACGCCCGAUCUCGUCUGAUGUUGGAAGCUAAGCAGGGUCGGGCCUGGUUAGUACUUGGAUGGAAGAAU
rnacentral:rRNA from 1 species